rnacentral:rRNA from 1 species
GGACCCGCACAAGCAGUGGAGUAUGUGGUUUAAUUCGAAGCAACGCGAAGAACCUUACCAGGUCUUGACAUCCCUCUGACCGGUGCAGAGAUGCAUCUUUCCUUCGGGACAGAGGUGACAGGUGGUGCAUGGUUGUCGUCAGCUCGUGUCGUGAGAUGUUGGGUUAAGUCCCGCAACGAGCGCAACCCUUGAAUUCAGUUGCCAGCACGUAGUGGUGGGCACUCUGAAUUGACUGCCGGUGACAAACCGGAGGAAGGUGGGGAUGACGUCAAAUCAUCAUGCCCCUUAUGACCUGGGCUACACACGUACUACAAUGGCCGGUACAACGGGAAGCGAAGCGGCGACGCGGAGCGAAUCCUUAGAAGCCGGUCUCAGUUCGGAUUGCAGGCUGCAACUCGCCUGCAUGAAGUCGGAAUUGCUAGUAAUCGCGGAUCAGCAUGCCGCGGUGAAUACGUUCCCGGGUCUU